UACAGGGGGGGCAAGCGUUGUUCGGAAUUACUGGGCGUAAAGGGCUCGUAGGCGGCCGACUAAGUCACACGUGAAAUCCCCAGGCUUAACCUGGGAACUGCGUGUGAUACUGGAUGGCUUGAAUUCGGGAGAGGGAUGCAGAAUUCCAGGUGUAGCGGUGAAAUGCGUAGAUAUCUGGAGGAAUACCGGUGGCGAAGGCGGCAUCCUGGACCGACAUUGACGCUGAGGAGCGAAAGCUAGGGGAGCAAACGGG
rnacentral:rRNA from 1 species